rnacentral:lncRNA from 1 species
GAAGCCUCUGCCUGCUGAUCCUCUGAGCAGGACAACUCGGCUCACCAAUGCCUCCAGAAACCCAGGACAGCAGGAGCCAGGGCUCCGCCCUGCACCUACCAGGUAGGGGGUCUCUCUCUCUCUCUCCCCCCAUCAAAUGGGGGAAGCCAGCUAAAGCAACUAAGGCUGGGCAAGGCCAUGCUUCCUAUAGUCCAACCAACUGGGAAUGGUAGGAAAUGGUUACAAAAAUAGGCAGCAGUCAGCAUGAGUCACCAAAGCAGGCAUCGCCAGGGCACUUUCAGGAGGGCCAGGGACCUCAGCACUUGGAGCCUGGCUCAAGCUGGUUGGUGACGGCUAUUAAAUGUGCUGAAAUUUUGCAAGGUAGGUGUUAAACCAGGUCACUGUUAAGAUUAUAUAAACUUACCGUUGAAUGUUUGUAUAAACUCAAUGGAAAGCACAGGCAGUGAACUCUGAGAACCUCCCUUCCACUUCUUUUUUACUGCCUUUGCUCUAAUUGCGCCACUGGGGUUGCAGACAUCUGACGACAUGGUGGUCCCUCGUAGCUCUUCCAUGUUUGGUGACAAGAUGAUGGUGGCUUGGAAUCAGCCACAGUGGGAGCAUUUACACCAAGGAAAUGGUCAAACACUGCAGUGUGGCUCCCCCAGCCCCUGGCGAGUUGUCCAACGCUGACCAGCACAAAGAGGCCCAGGGCUCCUCUGUGUGCCCCUUGGCAGGACGCUUGCUUUUCAAGCUCAAAAGAACCAAUGGUACUGUUGGCUGGGCCCUGUGCUCAGUAAUUCCUCUCUCCAGAGGGGAGGACACACUAGUGAUUUCAUUACAGCUCUUGGGAAGAAUUUUUGGCCUGUGGAAGAAAUAGUUGCCUAAUAAAUCUCAGAGAUAAAGCCGGUCAAAGGGUCAGUGCAAUUCCCAACUGCAGAAACACAGGAAGAUUGCAUAGCAUCCUAGUUAUUUCAUUGUGGUUUAUAUGUUGAUCUUAAAGUUACUUUCCUUAUUCUGUUUAAAGUAAAAUAUACUACUUUACAUGGACUUGAUGAAGGAAAAGCUCCUCAUUUAAAUGCCCUCAAGCAGUGGACUGUCUUGCCUCUGUUGUCACUGAGAGCAAGGCAAGCCUAUUUAAUCUUGUCCUGCACAUUGUUUUAAAAAAAUUUUUUUUAGUUGUCAAUAGACCUUUCUUUUAUUUAUACGUGGUACUGAGAAUUGAACCCAGUGCCUCUCACAUGCAGGCAAGCGCUCUUCCACUGAGCCACAACCCCAGCCCUGCACAUUAAUUUUGGAGGGAUCCCAUGUGCCUUACUUUUGCUCUGGUUAUCUGUUGCUCUGUUCAACCCAGUAGACACUGGGCAUUUGUGACUGGUCAAAAGUCAAACUCUGCUGUCAGUGUAAACACAUGCUGAAUGUUGAAGUCUUAGUUCCUCUAAAAUGCCAAUUCUCUCAACUUUAUGACCUGUUUUGAAAUGAUACUCUACAUCUAUUGAGUUAAACUAAUUUUAAUAAUAAAUUUCAUUUUUCUAGUAGGCACAUGAAAAAAGCAAACAUUACCUAAGUGGCUCUCACCCUUUUUUUUUCUGUUGGAUGGUGCUGUUCAAGAAUCAACUGGAGUGUGAGAGGGGUAUCAUUGGAGAGGGCUCCUCUGGUGGCAUCUGUUGUAAACCACUGGGAAUUCUGAAGCUCUAGAAAGGUCCCUGAUGGGAUCUGACACUCCUGCCAAAAGCAAGAGUGUCUCUAGACCUCCAGAUGGGAUUUGGCCUAGGAGUGUAGGAAAAGACUUCUCCCACCCCAGAUUUCCAUGUCUGCAGAAACUGUUCAAGACCUCUAACUACAACUUUGCUUUCUCCUCUUCACUGCUUUUAAUUCAGACCUGCUCCUAAGUAUCCACACCACGUGCCCAGACCCACCCACAGCGCCUAUCCUCAGUGAGGAGCAAGCUGACACCUUCGUUCAACAGUGAAGACAGAAGUUUGCACUAUCUUUCAACUCCACGUGGAGUGACUUUUUGUACCAACUUUUAGAAUUUUUUUUUAAUAUGUUUAAAACACCAUUAUUUCAAGAACUUUGAGCUACUGCCGUCGGUGCUGUGCUAUGGUGCUCUGUGUAUUCGCUCAGGUACUUGUAAAUUAUUAAUUUAUGCAGAAUGUUUAUUGCAGUGCAGUGCACUGUACUAGGCAUUUUUACCAUCACUGAGUUUUCCAUGGAAGGAAGGCUUGUUGUGCUUUUAAUAUUUUAGUGAACUUGAAAUAUCCUGCUUGAUGGGAUUCUGGACCAGAUGUUUACUUUCUGAUCAGGCUUUAUUAGAAAGCAGUUGCUAAUUCCCCACGGCUGUGUUAAUGGUACCAGACACAACUCAGGACCCCUGGUAGAACCUUGAGUGGUUUUCUGAAACUCCUAGGCCAGGGCUGCACUGGGCCUUCAGUGAGGCCCUCGGUGCCUACACGCUGACAAGCCCCUAGCAGCUGGACUUUGGAGCAGUGAAUGACCUGGUUUGGGGCCAGGAAGCUUUGGAGAGAACCUGGGUUGCAGACAGGAAUUUUGAGGUGUGGCCACACCAGGACAGAGCCUGGAACACUAGGCCAGGCAGAAACUUGACCUUGAGCUGAGCCGCCAUGGGUCCCUUUGGAAAGCAAACAAGGAAGAAGUCUGCAGGAUUGCUCAAGGUUUUCUUUAUAGAAACAUCAAGAACUUCUUUCUCUGGCUGCUCUUUAUGCAGUUCUGGCAUCAGCACAUUAUUUAGAUUGGGAACGGUGGUGUUUCUACAAGAAGGCCACCGCCCCAGCACUGCAAACCACCAUCUCCCUGUGCUGUUUGGAGCUAAGCAAAUUACCACCUUGUCUUCUCAACUGUAAUAUGAUGACCCUGUGUUCAGACAGAUAGAUGAGGCUUUCCAUGGGACCAUAAUUCUUUUCAGAUGUGAACUAGUAACCAGAUCUAGUCAAUCAAUUCUUUAGAUAAAAAUCUCCUUUUACUGCAAGGUUCAACUUAUUAAAAAUUAGGCAGAAACAACUACUAAAUGGAAUGCCUUGCUCAUUGGCACAGACUGUCUGGGCUGCCUUAUUAGUACGUAGUGGACAAAGAACCACAAGUGACCAUGAAGUUCUCUCUAGGGCACCCUAUUUUCUCAGCUAGGCAGCUGGAAUCUUAAACAUUUGCAACCUACCUGUAGAGCAUCACAAGGUAUGAUCAGAAAACCAAUUUCCUAACCCUGUAUUUUCACCAAAGGCCAGCUGGGGCAAGCAGCCCCUCCAAACAUUUCACUCUCCCAGUGUCUCAUUUCCUAGGAUGUUUAAGAUGCCUGGAUCUAAUAGCAUGAAAAAUACUCAGAUAAGGCAAAAAUGCCAUUCUGGCCCUCACUGUCUUCUGUGAGAUCAUGAAUGACUAGUUUUCACAUUAGAAGGCAAUUGACAGCAGUUCCGUAAUUCACUGAGUGUUUCAUGAUGAGACUUCUUUUAGGGUCAUUUCAAUGGUUUUCCUAUGCCUUGAAGCAGAAAGAAAAAUACAUACCAGGAAUCUUGGUUUGCCUUCCAGAAAACGAAACUACAUUUAACUGUGCCAAUGUUCUCCCCAUAUAUCUAGGCAACGUGGUAUUCAUGACUAUGAAUAAAUAAAUGUCACAAACACACAAAAGGUAACCCAACUCAAAGACAUUCCAACUCUUGCAGCAUGCAUAUGUUUUAAUAAACAGAUGCAAUUAUUUUCUUUAAAAAGUAAAGCCAUGUUAGAUGAUAUUACUGUGGAUGAGAUACAUACAGGAUUAUUGUAACUAACUGAUGUUACAUUUAGUAAUUGUGUCAAGGCCAAAACACACACUAUUGAAAAGUUUACAGAAUUUCCUGGUGUGGACAUUGCUGCCUUCUCGCCCACGCCUCAGCUCCGGCACUUUCACCCUCCUCCUACUACACGGAGCAGGGAGGAUGGGAACUGCCUUUUCUGUUUUUGUUCUUUCUGAACUGUAAUUACUGUGCUUUUGUUCCAGAGAACCAGGAAGAGUUUGGUAUUAAAGGAGGUUAAAACUGAUCUUCUGCCAUGUCAUCAAUGGCCACUUUGUGGUUAUGGCUGAUGACACAAUUUUAUCUCAAUACUAAUUGCUUUUAUAGAGCCAUGCAAAUUAUUUCUGAAUAAGAAUAUAUUUAAGCCUUAUAAUACACAGAUAAUAUUAUUAAAGGAAUACUUUCAAAAUUCAAUAUUUAUCAAAUAAAGCAUAUUUAGCAAUAACUUCCAUUUUAAUGUAACUUAGGAACCAAUAACUAGGGUUGUUUUUUUCUUGGUGGGAAGGGUUUUCUCUCACUUUUUAUAAACAAUGGGAACAAAAAUCAGUACUUCUAUUUUAGUGGCAAUAUGACUAUUCUUUAAUAUUUCUAAAAUACUUCACAGGGACAAAUAACAGUUAUUGUGAGUUUUAUAAAACCAUUACUGAGAAAGUUCAGUGCCUAAACUCAAAAGCAGGCUGGAAGGCUACUCACCUUUCUUCCUACAUCCAGCCAGGGCUGCAGGUUACAGGGCCCCACUCCACGGAGAGGUGCAUGGCCAACCUUCCAGGCAUUCCAUUUAUCUGCUAAAAUGUUCUUGUUUUCCCAAUACAUUGAACCAGACUGUGGCAACCAAGAGAAACAAUGCCUAGUGUUGUCCAUUGUCCCAGUGGGACUUCCCCAGCGUACACAUAUAGAUNGGACAGUCUGGCCCAGCUUCCCUUGGCUGGGAGUGCUUGGUAAGCAUCAGUGGAGGGGCUGGAGGAGGCACAGGCAUUACAGUGGGGGUCAGCACCAUGGGGGAUCUCUAAUCUCUGACGCAGAUCAGAGUCUUAGCAAUUUUAGGGAAUGUGCUGAUUGGUUAGACUCUGAUCUGCGUCAGAGAUUAGAGAUCCCCCAUGGUGCUGACCCCCACUGUAAUGCCUGUGCCUCCUCCAGCCCCUCCACUGAUGCUUACCAAGCACUCCCAGCCAAGGGAAGCUGGGCCAGACUGUCCUCAUGCACCCUGAUCUCUUGCAGACUCUCCUAGUGAGACCCAUUUCAUUCUUAAGCUUUGCUAGAGUCCGGGCACACUUACUCUACAGAACCCUCCUCACUGCUCUCACAAUGGCUCUAGCCACAUGCAAGUGACCCAGAUGAAUGUUCCACCAGCCCUCCCAGAAGUAACUCAGGCUGGAAGUCUCACACACACAGUGACUGACUGGUGGGGACACUACAGGUAUCAUAUCUUCUCUCCUCCAUACCCAUACCAGAAGCCAUCCCCAUGCUGCCAGUUACUCCCCAUGUCUCAUCAGCAUCCUCUCACCUGGACACAGUAAGCCAGAAGCUCAAAUCUGUUUGCCUUUCCUUGUCACCAGACAAGUGCCUAACUUUGGCCAAACUCAGUGUUAAUGGCCCUCCAAUCCCGGCAGUGAAGUCACUACUUCAGAUCAGCCAGAGUGGCAUCUGUUGCAGUGCAUGGCAGCCCCAUGGGGUCCACCUACUGGACAUCCAAAGCCCAACAUUCUCCAGAAUCACAGCUCAGAGCAACCCCGCCAGCACCCAAGACCCCUGCAGAGUCCCUCCUGCAAGCACAUCAAUCACAGUGACCUCCCGUCCCAUGUCUUGUUCUAAUGAGAAGGGGCAGUUGGCCAUAGAAAAUCAAUUUAGCUAUGCAUGCAAAAUUCUCUGACUCACUCCAAAGUUCCCAUCGACAGGUAUUACUUUUAAACUUGUUUGAAAAUUCCAAUAGUGAAAUACGUAACACUAAGAUUUGUGAGCCGCAUGCUCAGAACCAUUUCUGUACAGUGAAGAUUAUUUUCAUAAGCCAUUUACCCACAUGAGCAUGUGCCUCUUCCCUGCCUCCUGUAGAGGAAACCCCCCCCCCUUUUACUUCUGGGACAGUACUGGAAGCUUCAAAUCCAGUCAUCAUAAACCUGUUUCAUAUGAGAAAAACUAAAAGAAAUACUGCAUCGAGCCUGUUAAAAUCCUUGGUAAUGGAGAGUGAUAGCCAGAAGAUUGAACAAAGGACUUCUCAAAGUGCUUCAGUUUCCCCAGGCUGAAGGCCCUGUAACUCACCCUGAUUUUCAACAUCAUCUUCAAGAAGUAUGUUCUAUGUUCUCUGUAACUCCCAAAGAAAACUUUUUAGUCAAUUUAGCAUAUUUAAAUUUAAACAAAAGAAUAAAUAUAAUGUGAUCAUUUUAGUUUUCAAAAAAGCAGAAUCCCUUUUUUGUGUUCAUAGUCAUAAGUAGGUCCCUUCAUAGGGCAGCCACAGGAAAAACAAGUUAGAAAGACAACAACCCCUAAGAUUCCAAGGCAGGACAGGUGGGAGCAGAACUAGCGAGCGGCUCCUUAGCUCCUUCUAUAGGGUCAAAUUGGCAGGUGGUCAGGAAGCCUGUGUCUGAAGGCAUGUGGCAACUGAAAGGCCAUUCUUUAACUUGACCACAGGCUGUUUAGCACAGUACAGAUUAGAGUUACAGCUACAUAAACCAGCACAGUCAUUCUGUAGUGCUUCAACCAUUUAUAAUGCUUUGGUUUGCUAAUUUGUUCACGUACCUUUUUAUGUUACAUUCUGUUGCUUUUGUAAACGUUUCUCAUAUUGGGGAUCUACAGAUAAACACAACUUGCUAUUUCAAUAAAAAAGUCAUUGUUAAGAAUAUUAUAUCCAAUAAAUGAUAAACAGGUAAAUAUAAAGA